rnacentral:rRNA from 1 species
UUUGAUAAUAAUAUAAAGUAGGGCCUGCCCACUGAGAUUUUAAAGGGCCGCAGUAUUUUGACUGUGCAAAGGUAGCAUAAUCAUUAGUUUUUUAAUUGAAAGCUUGUAUGAAUGGUUUGAUGAAAAAAUAACUUUCUAUAUUUAAAUUUUAUGAAAACUUUAUUUUUAAGUUAAAAAGCUUAAAUUUUUUUAAUAGACGAGAAGACCCUAUAGAGUUUUAUUAUAAUAAAUUUUUAAAUUUUAGGAAUUUAAAAAUUUUAAUUUUUUUAUAAUUUGGUUGGGGUGACUAAAAAAUUAAAAGAACUUUUUUUUAUUUUAUACAUAGAUUUAUGAAUAGUUGAUCCAUUUAAAUGAUUAAAAGAAUAAAUUACCUUAGGGAUAACAGCGUUAUUUUUUUUUAGAGUUCAAAUCGAAAAAAGAGAUUGCGACCUCGAUGUUGGAUUAAAGUUAAUUUUAGGUGUAGAAGCUUAAAAAUUUGGUCUGUUCGACCAUUAAAACUUUACA